rnacentral:antisense_RNA from 1 species
AGAAGGUACUUGCUUCUCUUUCUCCUUCUGCCAAAGCAUGACCUUAUAAUUGUAAGUUUCCGGAGGCCUCCCCAGCCAUGCGGAACUUUUUCCUAAAAUUCCCUUUUCCACUUGUGUGUGGUGCAAGAUGAGGCACAUUUUCCAUGGAUGGUGAACAGAGGGAGGAGCCUCUUGAUCACAACCAGGUCACCCCACUUCUAAGCCACUGUGCCUCCAGCCCCACAAGACUAAGGAGAGAGAGCGCAGAGUGGUGGAGAGUGAGCUGUGCUGGGACCGUUGUUUCUGUAACCUCAUUUUCUGUGUCCAGCUGACACACCUUCAAAGCGGCGUCAGGUCCUAAACUGUAGCUUGCGACGUGCCUGUUUCCAGAAACAAAGGUGAAAGUGCUUUUAGACAGUGUUCCCAUGCAAGAGUCCCUUCCCAGCUGUUCUCUGGAAAUGCAUGUUUCUCUGAACUCUGAGUCCCAAGAAAAAUCAUUUGAGACAUCAAGAAAAUGGGGGAAGUGCUAAAAUUGUGUGGGAAUUCAAGCUUAACAAUAAACAUCAAGACAUUUUUGGUAAAAAUGAAUCCACUGACAUCAGGGAGGAGCAAGAGAACAGCACUCUGACACUGGGUCAGAGGCUAAGACCGACAUUUCUGGGAACCACUCCCAGAAGGGCACAGAUGAGACGCUUUCAGCCUCUCAUCAGCCAGCCUGGCCUGUUGCUGCUGCACAUUAUGAGUGUGUUCCUGGCAUGACUGCUUCUAACAAAGAAAUGCUGAUGCAGUGUCAUGCUGGUGUGUGUCCUCCUUACAGAAUGCCUGAACAGUUCCAUUGACUCAAAGUGAAGAUCAAAAGAACCAAAUGACAGCAAUAGCUAAGUGUAAUCAUCAGUAACCCUGUGUUCUAUCCACGGUUAAAAGAAUAUUGGCAGAGAAAGAGCCUUGGUGUUCCAGCAGGAGCUAAGAGGAACAGGAAAACAAAUGGCAGUAGCCCUGAAACAGCCACUUCUGGUGGUUGCCAGUCACCUGAGGAUGUGGGGUCUUGCCAUUUGCCCAGGCUGGUGUCAAACUCCUCAAGUAAUCCUUCUGCCUCGGCCUCCUAAAGUGCCAGGAUUAUAGGCCUGAGCCACUACACACAGCCCGGAAUUUUUUUAAAAUAGUCAAUUAAAAUGCUUCAUUUAAGUGUAUGUCUCUAAGAAAAUUUAAUAAUUGAUUAAAUAUUGUUGAAUAGACUGAAA